rnacentral:sRNA from 1 species
CUAGAGACGCGGAGGWCAUUACCGAAGUUACUYCUUCAUACCCUAUUGUGAACCUAUACCCUAUUUGCAGCGUUGCCUCGGCGGCGAGGUCCGGGGGGGUCGGGCGGGGGGGCUCCGCGCCUCCCCUCCCUCCCCCGGGCCCCCCGCCGGCAUCGCCCAACUCUUCAUUUGCAAAGCGGACUGUACGUUUCUGAUUAUAUCUUGAAAAACAAGUCAAAACUUUCAACAACGGAUCUCUUGGUUCUGGCAUCGAUGAAGAACGCAGCGAAAUGCGAUAAGUAAUGUGAAUUGCAGAAUUCAGUGAAUCAUCGAAUCUUUGAACGCACAUUGCGCCCGGCAGCAAUCUGCCGGGCAUGCCUGUCCGAGCGUCAUUUCUGCCCUCGAGCGCGGUUCGGCCCCUAGCGGGCCGCGCCGCCGCCCGGUGUUGGGGAUCUGCUGGCGACCCGCCCGCAGGCCCUGAAAAGAAGUGGCGGUCCCGCCGCGGCGCCCCCUGCGUAGUAGUAAAACCACCUCGCAUCGGGUCCCGGCGAAGGCCAGCCGUCAAACCUAUCUCCAAGAUGUUGACCUCGAUCAGGUAGGWGCCCC